AAGAGGGGCAAGGAGGAGGAAAACCCCAAAGCUCAAGGAGAAUCAAGAACCUAAUUCCAGAUUGAAGUAGCGGUUUAAGCGAUCGGUGAGGAUGACUCGUAAAGUUUAUCCGGUUAUGUGGAGUCGUGUCGGUCAUGCUCUGAUCUUGUAACACUGGGGGUCGAUAGUCUUAGAGAUACUCGAUAUACGUUGUUGCCAUUAUUGGUUAUGGAUUAUGUAUUGUUGAUUUUGUUUGGAUAUGUUUCUUAACAUUGUUGAAAUGAGUUUCCGCUGUGCUAAACACAUGUUUUGAUAUUUGGUUUAAUAAAGCAUGACAAACGACUUGGAGUUUUA